AGAAUUUCAUUAAUCUGAAAUGUAUUUUAAGAUUUUAACAUAUUAUCUUGCUACUUUAAAUAUAUUAUGGCAUUUGAAAGAUUACAUGUGAUAAUAACAAUAAAAAAUGUAUUUCCUCAAGCCACACUAUUUAACAUAUUUUACCAUGCUUAUAAAUUAUAUAUUUUCAUAUAACCAUGUAAAAUGACUAGACAUUUUAUGUUAAAACUUUAAAGAAUUUUCUAAAGAAUUUUCUUUAUUAAUUGUUGUAAUUUGAUGCUAUAAAAACGGGGCGUGUCGUUAUGGUUGAUUGGGUCUGCGGCUCCACCUCACGACACUACUGCGCAGACUCGGGCUCCAAAUGACGUCAUUUACACAUGAUGGCAGCGGCCAUACUCCAAGAGGGUCUGGCUGCAGACAUAGGGGCGAGUGGAGCUCCACUCAAGAGCGGAAAUACGUCACCUCCACUAGCGACGCGUCCGCCAUGUUGGUCCGGGCAAGACUGCCAUAAAACUAAUGAAGGUAAACGGAGCUGCGUUUUUUUCUGCAUAAAAACACGAUGAUGUUUACAUUUAUCAGUCGAUUUCAGUGAUUUGUGAUCUACAUGGAAUUAAAAAUAACUGUCUCCAGUUAUUUAGUUAUGCUUGGAAAAUGAUUAAUUUUCGUUAAAAAUUGAAGCUCACACGCUUGUUGAUUUGGCUAUUUUUAUGGUAACAAUUCUAAUACUUAGUAUAACUGUGACACCACGUGUAAAAUAAUCUAAUGUACAUGAAAUGAAAUUAAGUUUUUUCUUUGUGGAAAUUGCUUUCCGUGUCUUCAACCCCAACAUUUCAGCUUGUCUUGUGCUUCAGGUCAGAACACAUCAUUCCCUUUGAAAUACGGAAUACAAAUACAUCUUUAAGUACUAAUAAUUGACCAUCAUUGAUGAAAUGGAAUAAAAUCAGUAAAUACAAAUAAAAAAUGUACACACUGGUAGUCUGCUUUCUAUAUUUUCAUAGCAGUCUAUGGAUACAGAUAUAAACUCCACAACAAACAAUAAGAAAUAUAACUGAUAAUCUUUUAUGGAUCCAGUAAAAGUUACAGUUAUAAAACAUUAUGCACUAAUAAUAAAUAUAGUAAUAUAGUAAACAUAUAGUAAAAGUGAUAUGUGAUAUUUAAAAAGUAUAGUACAAAUUGUAGUAAAGUGAUAAUAAAAUAGUGAGUACAACAAGACAAUAACAUGUAAGUGAGAUAAUAAUAGAUUUAUAAUAGGUUUAUAAUAGAUUUCAGUUCUUGCUUUCCCUGAGAAUAGAGUGUUUUAGAUGUAAUUCUCCACUGGUUCCCUCAAGAUUUUCCUAUGGGUUUUUAUAAUGGGUUUUUUACAAAUAAUGAAUAAAAUAUGGUCUGUGAUAAACAUAACUUGACAAUACUUUUGCUCUACAAUGCAAAUUACACACACCCAUGGUGAAAAUGCAAAUUUUUAAGCAGUUAACAAAACACAAACAGAAAUCUCUCUUUUUUUUUUUUAAGAACUGGUUUCACAACGAUAUUAAAUAUACAACAAAGAAGGAACACUCUUUGAUUAUAAUGAAUUCCUUUUUUAUUGUAAAAUACCAAUUACUCAAUUGUUAUUGGUUCAAUCUCUUCAUGCACUCACAUUUUAUGGUUUUGUUGACUGAAAUAAAUAAAUAUAUAUAUAUAUAUAUAUAUAUAUAUAAAUUGACAGUAUAAGAGAUUCUUUGAAUAAGAAAGCUUUAAGAACUUUGAAAGCUUGUGAACUUUAUAAUAUAUUUAUUUAUUUGAUUUUGAUAUAUGUAUACGUGUAUGUAUAUAUAGGGCCUAUGGUUUUGUGUCUUUGUUUACAACUUUUAUACUUACCUCCCCCGGCAACUCCUAUUUGUUGUAAAUUAUUUUUCAAUCCUUUUCCUUUUUAUUUUCCUUUUCUUUUUUGAUGUUAUUUCUUGAUAAUAUAUUGUAUCGUAUUGUUCUUUGAAUAAAAAUAAAAUAGCCCAAAACCAUCCCAAUGGUAAAUGGUAAAAAUCGCAUUGCAGGGGCUAAAUAUCACGUUAUUGGUUUCAGCAACAUAUUUUGAAGUAGCCCAAUUCCGAGGGAAAAAAUCAGUUGAUAGAUGACAAUGGUCAGCUAUAUUCCUUUUCAGAAUUUUCCAGGAAAUUUGAUUUUGGGGCUUCGUUAAAAGAAUAUAACAUUGCUGGAAUAUAACAGAUGCUGGAAUAGAUUUUCUGUUGAUAUGAUUUCAAACAAAGCGGUUAUUGAAUUUGUCCUCAACAAUCAAAAUCCUUCUACUGAAAUAGAAUUGUUAGGCCUAUAUAUAGAAACAGGAUUAGAGGUUUGCUAUUCUUUCAAUAGAGUUUUUAUACCACUAGGAAUGGCAUUAAAUGGAUGGCAUUGUACAACAUUAAUUGGAAUGCUGCUUGGUCUCUUCCGCACAAAUAUUUAUUAAUAAACAAAAUAAAAAAAGUCACAUUUAAAAUAUUACAUAGGUGUCACCCUUGUAAUAGUGUAUUUAAUAAGUAUAUGCAAAAUAUUGGAGGAAAAAGGGACUUUCUGUUAUAGAAGAGACCAUUGUACAACUUUUUUGUGAAUGUGUUUAUGUAAAACAUUUUUGGAAUGAGUUAUACCUCUCAGAUAAAACAAAUGUUAGAAUAUGUAUCAACACUUUUGAUAUUAUUUUUCUUUUAUUAUAACUCUAACUCCUGUAUUCAAUAUAUUGUUAAUCUUUUUAUUAUAUACUUGGCAAAUGUUUUAUUCACAGGUGUAAAUUUUGGGGUAAGAACCCAGUACUGUAAAAUUUUUCUGGUUGACUAUAAUUCUUAAGUUUUGUCUUUAAUGGGCAUAAAAAACAAACAAACAAAAAAUUUAUUAAAAAGUCAAAAAUUGCUUUCAAUGUUUAAAUUUGUAUAAUUUCCCCCCUUUGGUUUAUGUUAUUUAUUUGUUGUCUUUUAGUUUAUUUAUUUACUUAUUUUACUUUCGAUCUUGUAUUAUUUUUGUAUUUUGUCCUCUAUUAUUUUUGAGGUUGUUGUGGUUAUGUGCUUGUUAAGUGUUUUGGCAUCAAUAAAAAAAAUUCCGAGGACUUGGCAACACUGAAUGGAGGUGACGUAUUUCCUGUUCAAGAGUGGAGCUCCACUCGCCCAGAGCCAUAUAGAGAGAACAUUACUUUGACACAGUUACACCUGUUAACAAAUCUUAUUUGUAAAUGAAGAAACAUUCAUUUUCUGUAAAGCUGCUUUGAAACAAUGUUUGUAAUAAAAAGUGCUAUACAAAUAAAUGUGAAUCUCCCUGGAGCGCUCCCAUGCAGCACAGCAAACUAUAGUGGAGACUGUUCAAGGACAGCAUGCUUUAUAGCAUGUAAAUAAGUGCAUAACAAAAGUUAACAUACAUCAAAUAUAUGAUUAAAUGGGUAAAAAUGUUUUAAGUUAUUUUAAAUUUGAAUAUACUACAAAUAUAUAUUUAAAUAUUAAUAAUGGAGGGGUGCACAAGAAUCAAAAACAUUAAUUCCCACUUAAUCUUAAAAUAUCUUCACUUAUUUGGAAUGAAUUUUCAAAGACAACAAACUUAACAUUCACCAUGAGAUUAGUAAAACGACAAUGAACAUCAAGAUGUGAUUGCACUCGACUAACAUACAAGUUGUUAGAAAGCACACACACACACACAUAAUUAUAUUUAUACAGAGAGGCUGAAGUUACUUGGUAAAAGGCCACAAUGUCGUUUAUAUAGCAAACAUGGACUUUUACCAUGGUAACGUCAGCCUAAAAUAUGUUAACAUGGCAGGUAAGGAUAGCUGACCACAUUAAUCCUCAAAUAUUAGCGGAUUUUAUCUUUUAAAGCAACACUGAUACAGCUACAUAUACUAUGUAUACUUUAUUUUAUAAAUAAUGUAAGUAAAUUAUUUUAUUGUCUACUAAUUACCAAAAAUCACAGUUCUGUCUCUCUAACUCAAUGCAUUCAAAUUGCCCGCUAUGAACUUCCUGGAACUAUUGAGGUCUACGAGAAUCACGUGACGAUCGAGCGUUUUGAACUUCCGUUGUCGCAACUCUAGCUGUGUAGAAGGCUGCGUCCUCCGGAGGUUGCAUCCUCUGUAGGAUGCAUAACGUAUACGAAGUGUCCUCAACCUAGAAUUAAACGAGACGGCCUUCGUAGGACGGGCGGGAAAAAAAACAAGUAUCACGUUGAUUUGCCAACACAUUUUAGAGCAUCAUUGCACUCUCACACUACUUAAAUUAAGGAAAAAUGUUUCUAAAUUUGGAAAGUAAUUAAAAAAAAGCUUGUUUUAUUUCGCUCAAUGUUUGAGGAGCUGCAACGUUCGUACAACAGACAGCUGUUAGAGGAAAAAAAGGAGGAGGAUAUUAAGAACAAAGUUUAACCUAUAUCAACCUCAAAGUUUUUAUUGGAGGCUAUUUAAGUUAAGUUGAAAACACCACAUCUGCGCUUCUGUGUACAUCUGCCGGCACCGGCAUUUUUCAAAUUAACGACAGUUGUUUAUUGACGCAAAGAAUUGUGGGUUAUCUGUUGCAGCGAAGGAUACACCUGAUGCAUCCUCCGAAUUCCUGUGAAAGAAGGUCGCAUUCGGAGUGUCCUGCUUGCUUUUCUGAAAUGAGACAGCCUCGAUGACGUAUGCACCCUUCGAAUGAGACCUCCGGAGGACGCAGCCUUCUAAAUGAGACACAGCUAGAAGCUGUCCCCUUCUUCCAGUUACGCCCCUCUCUUGCGGUCCGUAACUGGAAGGAGGCGUAACUUGAAGAAGGGGGCGUAACUUGAAGUUGUCCAAAUCACACAGAACUACGCGAGAUGUCAAAACGAGAUGUUGUUGGCAAGAUGGCCGCUUGUAUAGAGACAAGGGACAGAAGAGUCACGUGUGUUUAUCCGCUGAAGAGUGACUGAUGAAGCAAUGCUGCCAUCAAAGCCUCUCAAUCUUCUGUGGUGGAGCAGGACCUGCAAGGCAAGGUGACAGCGGCAUUUGUGAAAAAAAAGGGAAAACCUCAAACAAAAGGAUAAAGUAGUCGUGCUCAUGGAGAGCAGACACAGCGGCAGCCAGAUUGUCCUGCACAUGUUCUCCUGCUCUUGUCUCAAGGUUGUGUGGUUCAGGGGUGUCAUCAUGGUCUUCCUCAUCCUCUGGCUCAACACAGUGAAGCACAGCGCAGCUGCAGAAUUGACACAUCUGUGUUGAGGUGGCAGUAGGAUGUGGGGUUCACCAUCUGUAAAUACAUGAUUGUUAGAACAAUACGUUUGAUUGAAGCUUUGUUUCAUCUGUUGUUGACUUGUGUGUAUAUAUAUGUAUUUAUUGUGAUGCUUGCUUUUAUUAAUUAUUUUACUCAUUUAUUCAUGUUUCUUAUUGUUGUCAUUAAAUAAAAUAUAUUUUAUUAAUUCAUGUAUUAAUUGCUUGACUGAAAAUUGAUGUAUUCACAUCGACUGCAUUUGUUCAACUAGCUAUGUCACGACAAAAAUUAGAUUUUGCUUGUUUUACUAAAAUGUAAUUUUAAGUAAAAAAAAAAAAAAAGAAAGUCAUAUAAUUAUUGGUUGGCACUUAUCACUAUUAUUGCGUGUAAGUGUUGGGGUGGGCAAAUGAUGCAAUUCAUUCUGGG